rnacentral:lncRNA from 1 species
GUGGCGUCGACGGAUGAUUGGACUGACAAGGAUGAUGCGGAUCUCUUUCCUGAAGAUGGGUCAGUGGUUCGAGGAUGAUGACGGCUGGUAAAACGUGUGCGUGAGGUGUGCGUUUUAGGUGUGCUGCACCGGCUGUUGUUCUCGAUACGUUAUGUGGAUGGAUUGGAAACAACACCGGUCUUAGAUAUGUGGAGUGAGAGCACUCCACAUUAUCGAGUUUGUAGAUGUGAGUGGUGGCUUUGGAUGGAUUGAUGUAUACUCUUGUUAAACCUUUGUGGAAUAAUU